AAGAAAAAAGGGCCCAGGGCCCAUCUCCCACCUUAACUAUAAAAGGAGAUGGUUAAAGGGCUAAUUCCUAUCUCAUUCAUAUGGCAGCAUAACUGCCAGCAACAUAUCGUGUAAGCCAGCGAAAGAAAACAAAAUUUUCAAUCUCCAAUUAUUUUUUUAAAGCAAGACAAGCUCAAGGGUUUGAUCAGGAGAUUCUUUCGAGUUUAAGAGAACGCAGGUGACAGUGAGUAUUUUGUAAGCUAGAGGAUUCGAGUGGCAUAUACCUGGUUUAGACGUGCUGGUUCCUAACUGCACUUAGCCAAAUUCAGCCAGCAGUAGCAGAUUUAGCAGUUUAGACGUGUUGGUUCCUAACUGCACUUAGCCAAAUUCAGCCAGCAGGAGCAGAUUUAGCAAGAACGUAGGUGACGAUGAGGAUUUUGUUAGCUAGAGGAUUCAAGUGAUAUAUUUAUGGUUUGGACACUCAAUUUCCCAACAGUAUUUAGACAAUCUAGCGCUUCAGCAGUAGCGGCAUUGAUUCGGACACUCAGUUUCUCAAUCUUCCUUAGAUAGUCCAGCGCUUCAGCAGCAUCAGCAGUGAUCCUGGUUUGAAUGCACCUCAUGGUGGUUGAUUUUGGACAAUAUGUGAAGCUAUUUAAGUCGGCCUAUGAUACCUACUAAGUACAUGUGGACCGUAGUUACUUCUACUGCGCCUCUUUGGUGCAGAUCUUUGUAUGAGAACUUUCCAUAGCGGCUAAUUUUUCUUGAAGACUUCCAGAGUUUGAGAUGGUGAGGACUAGAUCUCAAGAGGCUGGGGAUUUUGAUCCAUCAUUCAAGGAUGGAUCCCAUCCUAAAGGGAGAGGCAAGGGUCAUGGAUGACCCAAAGUUAGAGGACAGGCAUGAAUAACUGCUCCAGCUAAAGGACAUGCUAGGGAGGCCUCUCACAAGCUUGAGUUUGUGUAUUCUAGGGAUGAUUAUCAAAUAGCGGAUGUGAAGUGAGCUAAGGUUCCACAGGGUUUAGUUGAUACCCCAGUACUUCAGGGUCUCUUGGUUUGCCUCUUGACUCAUUUGAAGAGUAUUCCCUUGAGUGCAAUUAGUUUUUCUCUUAUUUGAAGUAUUUUACCAUCGUUAGUUUUGGUGUCUACUGAUGGCAUUCCUCUGACUCCUAGUGUGGUUAUGUCAUUUGUAUCGACAUCAAAUUAUGGAAUUCCUUAGACUUUGAGUGGUGCACCACCUUUUGUGCUGGUAUUAGAUUAUGGUAUUCCUAGUCAAGCGUUCAAGC